rnacentral:rRNA from 2 species
CGCCUUCUUGCUCAAUAUGUAUAAGAGGUCCCGCCUGCCCAGUGACACCAUGUUCAACGGCCGCGGUAUUUUGACCGUGCGAAGGUAGCGUAAUCACUUGUCUUUUAAAUGAAGACUGGUAUGAACGGCAUCACGAAGACCUUACUGUCUCCUAUAUCCAAUCAGUGAAACUGAUCUCCCCGUGAAGAAGCGGGGAUUUCAACAUAAGACGAGAAGACCCCAUGGAGCUUUAAACUUAAAUCACUUGCUUCAAUUAUAAACCCACGGAACAAGCACUUAACUAAGCAAUGAUGAUCUAUGUUUUCGGUUGGGGCGACCACGGAGAAUAAUAAAUCCUCCUCGAUGAAUGAAUUAAUCUUAACCAAGAGCCACAGCUCUAAGUAUUAGAAUAUCUAACAUACAUUGAUCCAAUCCUAUUGAUCAACGAACCAAGUUACCCUGGGGAUAACAGCGCAAUCCAUUUCAAGAGUCCAUAUCGACAAAUGGGUUUACGACCUCGAUGUUGGAUCAGGGCAUCCCAGUGGUGCAGCCGCUACUAAAGGUUCGUUUGUUCCACGAUUAAAGCCCU